rnacentral:rRNA from 2 species
GACAGAGGGUGCAAACGUUGUUCGGAAUUACUGGGCGUAAAGCGCGUGUAGGCGGCCAAGUGUGUCGGAUGUGAAAUCCCGCAGCUCAACUGUGGAAGUGCAUUCGAAACUGCUUGGCUGGAGUUUCGGAGAGGAAGGCGGAAUGCUUGGUGUAGAGGUGAAAUUCGUAGAUAUCAAGCAGAACACCUGUGGCGAAGGCGGCCUUCUGGACGAUGACUGACGCUGAGACGCGAAAGCGUGGGGAGCAAACAGG